ACGGUGACCCUUGAGGUAAAUAGGAAACCGUCUGUGAUUCUGACUUGCUUUUUUUUCUUUCGAACCGUGCUCAACCCUCAAAGAUUUUUCUAGACAAAACUGCACAUUAGCUAGAUUGCUUCACACUGUGUUCUGAUGACAUGAAGUCUGUGAUCCUCCAAAAGUUACAUCAGCCCGCUUCCAGACAUAGCAAAGGGCUAGAUGUUCCCAGCCUGGAAAGACCUAUGGGCUGGAAAACGCUGUAGGAAGGGCAGCAGCCAUGUUACACUGCAAACCCUCAUGCCACAGCCCUACCGCUUUGCUGAACUGGAGCUGUAGAGGUAGCGCUGCUCCUGUAAGCUCUGUCCCUGCUUUCCUCCUCUAUUUUCUAUGGUCUUUUGCUCACAAUCACAGCUUCUUGCCUUCAAGAAGUUCUCAAUCUAGCAAAGAAAUUGUAUAUGUGCAUGUCUUUAAGGACGCAGGAGCUUCUGCUGGCAGUUGUGGACCUGUCUGCAUGUUGGGCUCAGCUCUCUGGCUCUGCACUGAAAGUACCUGGCAUCAUUCUGUUGUUUGUGAAAACUAAAAGUAGCAAUAGUUGCAGCUGUUAAGAUUGUAUUGAUCAAUAAUAGGCCUAAGUAGAAAACGUGAAUCUACCUAUAAAAACUCUGGCAUACAGUGCUUUUCAGGUACCUGACUAUUUUGUGGGGAGAUGCAUAAGGCCAGACUAGUUUCAAAACCUGCAAAUCGGACACAAUCCAGACUUAUAUUCAUUCUUACAUAAGAAAGCAUAACCCUUCCUUGGAGUGAGGGAAUGUUCCCACAAAGAGCCCAGGUUUUAUCCUCUUCUUACACUAGCUCUGUGGUUAACAAAUGCAAGCUGAAAUACCCGAUGUCUGUAAUACGUCCCCUCAAAACACCCGACAUUUAAAUGUUGCCUGAUUCACAAAAGUUUUGCUCAGGAAUCCAGUGAUCGUAGCUGAUAAAAGGCACAAGGAAUUCCUUUCACAAGGACCUGAACCACAGAUGGUUAUGUGAUUUGAGGGCCACUGAUCAUCGACAGUUUUACCAACUGAAUCAGAAUUACGGAAACACCUGCAUGACUGCAUCUGCAGACUCAGCUAAAUUAUGCUUCUAUCCAGCCACAUAAUAUCUAAUGUGUAAUUCUUCUGCAUUUUAAUCAAAUGCAUUGUAAUGUCAGUACAAAAUUUCAAUAUGAAUGCACCUUAAUGUUGGAGUAACUAAUAGCUGCCAUCCAUUAGUACCAGUUAGGAGACACACUUCCUACUAGGCAACAGGGGCAUGGUUAUUUUAACUCAUUACCUGCUUUGUAAAUGACAUUUAAUUGCACAUGAAGAGGGGAUGUUCACAGGACACUACUGGGAAUGCAAGACUGAGCACCCAAAAGUUAGCAAACGUUUGAAAGAAGGUUGCAGAGUGGUGUUCAUGAACCCCCUGCACAGUGAGACAGUCUGUGCACUCUGCCCAAAUGGUGCCUGUUCCCUAUAAAACCCGCAGUGAGUUUAGCAGCUUAAUGCUAGAAAACUUCUGCUGAGCAUGGCCAAACUCUGAGUUUGUAAAGGCUUUUCAGAUGUGAUGGAUUUUUGAGGCUACCGUAAAGCAUUUCUUAAGAAACAGAUGAUGGGCCAGUCUCCUAGUUGUUGCUUUCGAACAACGAUGUCAUCAGAGCUUUUCAAGGACAAACUACCAGAACAGUAACACUGAAACAUUUGUUUUCUAGCACCUUUCUUGGAGAUAGAUGAAUUAGUCUGGAUAAAAGUUUUCCAGAAAGAAAUCAGCCUGACGAAAACAUGAAUUUUGGAAAAUGUCCUCUAAUGGCUAAUACCUGGCAAAGUUAUGACCACUGAAAAUCAACCUUUAAAGCAGGAAGCACUGGUCAACCUUGGGCAACGGCUAACGCUGCCCAAGUUUCACUGCUUGCUGAAAUUGCUGAAUGUGUCGUUUGGCUCUGUUCUGAGAUGUGCCUCCAGUUUAGCCUUCAGAAGUGAGUCCCAGUGCCCACAGGACUGAAUUCAAGACUUCUGCUCUGGUACAAGGUUCUGCCCGCAAUGUAGCUGGUGGGAUUGGGGCCAGAUCUUCUGGAAGACAGAUGUUGUCGUUCCAUGGUACUCUGUUAUCGGCUUGUUCAUGCUCCUAGUACCAUUAGAGAAAGCCUGAAAGCAUGGAGUGAGGUAGAAAGUGAAGAUUUUAAGUAAAUUCAUUCCUGAAAUGCUGGGUAUUGAAACACAGUGCUUCCUGCCCAUGUUUGACUUUACUUUAGUUCAUUGGUCCCUAGUGCACCCAGAAUUACAGCUCAGUAAACAUCUUCAAGGAUCAUACAUUUUAAAAAAAAACAACCCUCCAGAAUCUCAAAGUGUGGCUUAAAGGCAGAAAAUCUCCUAGCAGAAAAGAGAUUGAGAGAACACAUCUUGACUUGGUCAUUUCCCCUUUCAGAUGUGGACACAUGUUCAUUACAAAUUACACUGAAAUCAGUAAUUAUUUUCAUAUGGUUAGCAAAUAAUAAUGAUUCAACAUUUGCAUGUCCCUGAAUUGCAGUGGAGUGGGAUUACAGAUGGUACAAGAUGCAUCAGUCUUACAAAACAUAUUGAAGACUUCAACUUCAUGACGGAAAGUGUUCUGUCAUCACUUAACUUAUAUGCACGUGAAUACCAGCAUAGUGGGGAGUCUGCAGUUAUGAGAACCACUAAAGAUACGACAAACAGGUACACAGAAAUAAAAUGUAAAUGCUCAAAGUUACCUUAGCUUUCCAUUUGUUUUCAUAAGUACUGAAUGUUAAAGCUCCCACCAUCCUGCCUAGACAGAGCCACAGACAGAACCCAAACAUCCAAGUCCCAAUUCACACCUUAAAAAAACCUGCCCUUUCUACAGUGGAGAGGCUUAACUGUAUACUGUUGCAUGGCAAACAGCAGGGAAUACACAGAAUAAAGCUACUUUACGCAAUAACAUUAGAUUCCAUUUCGUGUCUAUGAAGUAUUUACUCCGAGCCUGCAAACCCCACUGAGCAGCUCCCAUAUGAAAGAUUGAGAAGGAAAGGGAGGUUGCAUUUGGUGGUCCUGUUAAGGGCAGUGAUUUCUAAUAACAGCAAUGUUUGCUGUGAGUGAUCUGGAUCAACAUCAAAAAAACCCCCAUCUAGUCAAGUGCCCAGCAAGGGGUCUAUUCUCAUGUCCAUGCUCAUAUGUUAAGUCCCAUUGACAAGCAUUAGUGGGAACUGCAUGCACAUAUGGAUAUGUGAAUAGCCCUAAUGGGAGCUGCAUAAAGUAGUGUUCGACUAUACAGAGAUCACUUCAAUCGCCAAGAUAAAAUAAUCUAGGGGGAGAAGCCUUAAAGAAUGCUGUGAAAAAAACAAAUAAUUUAAAGAAAUUGAUAAAUAAUGGAGGUUAAAAAUGAAACAGUAAAAUAAAACCAGGAUUAGAAUCUAUUCUUUGAACUAAAUAGUAAAUGAGAAAUAGCUUUUAGAAGUUAACCCUGGCCAAAAUUUAAAGAAAUGGCUGAUAACUCGGUUCUCUAAUUUUUAGAGCCUCUUUGUCUUACUGUGACUCUAUAUUCUAAAUAGAAACGAGAGAUGCAGCAAAAAGAUCUUACUGACAAGACAUGAGUUAAGAAAAGCACUGGUAAGCAUUGCUCUGCUGAAGAACAGGGUACAUGAAAUAGUGGCAGCUCUGCGAUAGGUCAAUGAUAAUGAUGCUUCUGAGGUUAUACAACACCGACAGCCACCCUAUAAAUGUCAAAGCCUUGCAGAAACUCCCUAAGAAAGGUUUUCUGCUACCUGAAAAGCCUCCAGCAGCCAGUCUGCUGGACAACAGACACCUCUGAAGAGUUUGUUCUCUUUCUGCAGGCAAUCUUCAGGUUUUUCCCUGAAGCCACUGCCUAGUUCAAAAUCCCAUCGUGAUUUGGAGAACUGUUCUUACUUAUACUUACAUAGCUGAAACAACAAAACCUUUCCUGACAGCCACACAUAAAUAGGUGUAAUGAACAAUGAAAUCAUCAAUUAAUAGAGCAGACAGCAAUCACUGCUGAAGAGUUUUAAGACAGUGACAAGCGCCUAUAUUAAGAGCCUAAAUUGGUGGGAUAUGGAGUGGAUGAUAAGUAACAUGUGUAAGUCAGGUCUAAUUGUGACCAAGAUCACCGGUUUCCUUACCUUGUUCUGGUGCCCAUAGCGGAAUGCAACCACCUGAAUGGCAAGUUAUCGCAGAGUCCUGUGUGUCUACGUAUGUCUCACUGGCUUCAGACUGUGGUCCAAACUGUUCCAGCAAUACUGCUUUGGAACAUCCGGAGGUGAAGCAAUCCAUAUGACUGACAGUGAAAGCUCUUAUCUCACAAGUUGUCCUUUUCCAGUGGUCAUUUAGACCAAGAGUCAACCAAUUAAUCAUGGUAAACCAAAGCCUGUUGGGUCCCUGCUGGCCAAAGCACUUGAGAAGACAAAAGAUAUCAUGUUCCAGCUGACACCUGCAAGUAAUUACACAUGGCGACAGCAGUGGGUGAAAAAACAAAUUGAGAACCGAUGCUAAGAAGAGAGAUGCAUUUCUUUUUUGUAUAGACUGAACUAUUAUCUGAUCUCCAAGAGCCUGAGGGUCUUAGAAAUCAAAGGCAAAUUAGGUGAGAUAAAGAAAAUCCGUUGCCAGGUGUUCACUUGGAAAAUGAUAAAUCUCCAGUGAUUUUCACCAGUGCUAGGAGCUGAUUCCACUUCUCAGAUGAUACUGUAUUUUAUGAGGCUAUUUUACCAGGCUAGUGGCAGAGGGCAACUGCUCCACACAGAACAGAAUCUGGAGGCCUGCUCUUCCCAGAGUCUCGUCUCUACCUACCAACAGAUCUUUCAAUCUGUCUCCAAUGUUUUUGGAUAUCAGGACACAUAUGAUGCGUAGCAAAGACAGGCAUGAGUUUUUAGGAGAAGCUAAAAUAUGGUGGCUGACCCUUUGCUGAAAACCUUGUGAAGAAAAGAGGAAAGAAGAUGAGAAGAUGGCUCCUCCUCUGAAGAGUACAAGAUGACUGCAGCCAGAUUUCUGCUUCUGGAAGAUAACCUAUCCCCAUCAGAUUUCUUCCUAUUGAAAGAAAAGAGGAAGACCAAUUUAUGUUCACAGAUUGAGAAAUAAGUCGCCUUCACGUCAUACCAUCACAUGCUGGAUCUAUCAGUUAUUUUAAAGAUAAAGAAGUUCCUCCGAUUACUUCCUUCCCAGAAAACCAUUUCAGCUCGUGUUUCACUUUAAGCUUCUGAGUCAAUCAGUGGGACAAUUUGCUGCUUAGAGUUGAUUAUUAGCAUCACUGCAAGCCCAAAAGGCAGGUCAUCAGCCACUGGAUCGAUCUCUGCCUAAGUCCCUGAGACUAUCUAGCUGUCCAGGCUUUGCCAUCACUGACAUUUCGAUGUCCCCCAAACUUUUGGCAUUUGAGUUAUCAAUUAAUAAUGCUGCUCAGUGUCUUUUUUGCUUUGGCUUGUUAUGUGUCUCUUGUAUGUACAAGUUGUAGUAGUUAUGGUGCAGAUACAUAGACUGAAAAACCAUCAAUUACUUUCUUCACUUAUAUAUAUGGCCGAUGAAUAAAAUGCAUGCAUUUCAUAGAGGUUUGUACUGAAAUUGCCCUGAAGAACAGCACUCUCUGGGAAACCACCAGGACCACCUGGGGGCACAUUUACCUUGCAGUUGGUGGAGCAUGUGAGGGAAGGCCAGACCCUAGGCUGUAAACCCCAGCUAGCUACAGACAGUUGAGAGGCUGCCUCAAGUAAAUAAUUCGGAGAUGGAUACACACAAAAAAGUGCCACGUCUUCAUGCAUCACACGAAGCAUUGUCAGCUCUACUGAGUGGAGUUACUUUGCAGAGCUUGACUCAAUCACCUGAGCUGAGAUUUUACAGAUGAAUCUUAGCAUAGACUGAAAAUGUUAUAACCAUAUAGAACAGCAUCUUCCCAGGAGCAUCCUUCUCUGGGGAAAAAAAGCCUGAUCCUCACCAGCUGUACAUGCCAGUGCUGCUCCCGCAGAGGAAGAGGGCUGCUGAUCCACAACAGGGAUGGCUGGAAAGACCAGAGGGAGCAGUAGGGGAGACCUGAGCAUGAAAAUAUUUCAUAUUGGAUCUGGUUACAUCCAUCUGUAAAAUUAGUAACAACACAGACACCUGGUAGUUAGGUUUCGCAGGCUAAUAAAUAUGUUUAAGGGCAGAAAGGAUUCUGCUGAGCCUUUACUCUGACCUCCUGCACAAAAUCAGUCUAUGCUAUUUGAUUUUAUAGAGUUUAGCUCCCAGCUUUCAUUAGGGGCUCGCAGGUCAUUAGGGUAGGCUGAACUGUGCUUUGUCUGAACUUAGAUGUGAGACCCCCGAGAACAUCCUAGAGCUGAAAGAAAUGGGAUGAGGCCCCUACUUUUCUCUUCCUUCUGCAUUACGCUGAGCUGUACUUGGAGGCACCGCAUGGUGGUAUCGUAGAGUCUUGAAAUAGUUUCUGUUUGUUCAUGGUUUUGGCAGUUGUUGAACUUUUCAGUGGGGUGAGAGCGGAACAGGUUUGUAGGAUGCAGAGAGCACAUAUACACGUUUGGGAACUGCUGUGGUGGGUUUGUACGGCCAGAGCGGCAGGAAGCUGCGUGAGCAGCAGGACGAGUGAUCGUCAGCGUUUCCUAUGGGAAUCAAUUGCUGAGGCAGCUUAAGAAAAAGAGGUUUGGGGUGAAGUUUCAGCCUAAUAUUCUGUCUGCGACUCCCUCCUAUCCAGGACUGUCUUAUUCAUACUGUGAAUAAACAGACUUCCAGGUAGAAGAUGCCCAGAGCUGGGGUCACUGCUGCUUUACCAGAAAGCAGAGGCAGAGCUCUGAGGAAUCAGCUAUUUCGUGCCAGGUGGCAGGCAAGGGGUGACAGAUCUACUGCUAGGGGGCUGUCUUUUGGUGGUUUUGUAUAGCUCCAUCAGCACAUAAACUCUAUCUUUUAAAAUAAUACGUUAUUGGAGAUAUACGAAUGCGUGAUAUUCGCACACCUGGCCUGGGUCUGGAGAGCCCACAAAAUGUGUUAGACUUGUUAUUACUUGAUUAUUCCUUUGCACAGGUGUACAUUCCCGCUCCCAAAUGCUUAUGAAACGUCUCUGCUGAUGUACAUAGACUCACAGCGUUGAAGGCUAGAGAAAGCCGCUUGAUAUAUGACAACUCAUUGUGUGCUAUUGCCCCUGCAUUAAAGACAUUAACUUGGUUUUGAUUA